AUGCAUGUAGCUCAAUGGUAGAGCACUUGCUCAGCAUACAUGAAGCCCUGGGUUCUAUCUCCAGCAUCAUA
rnacentral:tRNA from 1 species